AACGCAUAUUGCGCUCUUUGGUAUUCCGAAGAGCAUGCUUGUUUGAGUAUCAGUAAACACCUCAAAACUCUUGGUUUUUUCCAGGCGUUUUGGACUUGAGCAAACCCAACACCAUCUCUCACGAUUUGGCGGCGGGUUGCUUGAAAUGCAGGUGCAGCUGGACAUUCUCCUGAGCUAAAAGCAUAUCUAUUUAGUCCCGUCAAACGGAUUAUUACUUUUUGCUGCAGCUAACAUAAAGGGAGUUUUGUCCGUAUUGGCUGACUGAUGCAGGAUUUCACAGAGUCGGAAACGAUUCUGUCAAACUCGAUCUCAAAUCAAGUAAGACUACCCGCUGAACUUAA
rnacentral:misc_RNA from 1 species